AUGCAAGCUGUCAUGUGUUCAGUGGCAGAAGACAGAUUUGUAGAUAAAACUUACCUACUGUUCAGUUACACACCAGUGCACUUCUUGGAGAAGAGAUCCCCAUUGUCUUUGACAACUAUUCUGCCAGUGUUACAGUGGAUGGAAAAACCAGUGAAUUUGGGCUCAAGGGAUACAACUGGAUGACAGAAUAUGAUGGAUUACACUUCCUGUCCUAUCUGCAAACAGAUGAAUUCUUUAUUUGCUUUUCCUUUGUGAGUCCUGCAUCAUUUGAAAAUACCUGUGCAAAGUGGUAUCCUGAUAUUCACCACCAUGUUCCAACAUGCCCAUCAUCCUAGUGGGAACUAAGCGUGAUCUUAGGGAUGAUAAAGCCAUGAUUAGGAAACUGAAGGAGAAGCAGCUGACUCCCAUCACCUAUCCACAGGGUUGAGCUACAGCUAAAGAGAUCAGUGCCCUAAAAUAGCAUACCUGGAAUACUCAGCUCUCACAAAGUGAGGUCUCAGACAGUGUUUGGAGGAGUUAUUGAAACAGUUCUCUGCCACUGACUGUCAGGAAGAAACAGCAGCAGCAGUGCCUGCUGUUG
rnacentral:lncRNA from 1 species